rnacentral:rRNA from 1 species
GCUUGUCUCAAAGAUUAAGCCAUGCAUGUCUCAGUACAAGCCAAAUUAAGGUGAAACCGCGAAAGGCUCAUUAAAUCAGUUAUGGUUCCUUAGAUCGUACCCACAAUUACUUGGAUAACUGUGGUAAUUCUAGAGCUAAUACAUGCAAACAGAGCUCCGACCGGAGACGGAAGGAGUGCUUUUAUUAGAUCAAAACCAAUCGGUGGCGGGGCUCGUCAUCGCACAACUUGGUGACUCUGAAUAACUUUACGCUGAUCGCACGGUCAUCGCACCGGCGACGCAUCUUUCAAAUGUCUGCCUUAUCAACUGUCGAUGGUAGGUUCUGCGCCUACCAUGGUUGUAACGGGUAACGGGGAAUCAGGGUUCGAUUCCGGAGAGGGAGCCUGAGAAACGGCUACCACAUCCAAGGAAGGCAGCAGGCGCGCAAAUUACCCACUCCCGGCACGGGGAGGUAGUGACGAAAAAUAACGAUACGGGACUCAUCCGAGGCCCCGUAAUCGGAAUGAGUACACUCUAAACCCUUUAACGAGGAUCAAUUGGAGGGCAAGUCUGGUGCCAGCAGCCGCGGUA